rfam:Phaseolus vulgaris cultivar G19833 chromosome 6, whole genome shotgun sequence.
AGGUACGAUCAUAGCAGCAUUAAUGCACCGAAUCCCAUCAGAACUCCGCAGAGAAGCUUGCUUGGGCGAGAGUAGUACUAGGAUGGGUGACCUCCUGGGAAGUCCUCGUGUUGCACUUC